GAGCAGCCUCAGCCCUCCUGACUGUCCCUCCACUGUCACAGACUUCAGGCAGAGGGGCUGGGGGGACUCCAGCCGAUUCCCCGCUGCCACAAUGACUCCCUGCCUGCCCGGCAGUUCUGAUCUGUGACCGGAAGCCAUUCCUUGGCUAAUGUUCAAACCCCUGCCUGAAAAUAAAAAGAAAAAAAAAUAAUUUUCUGCUUGGGACACUUUAAACUGAAAACUCUGGCCCUGAAAACCUGACCUAAAUGCUUUUAAUCAGAGCAGAAGAAACGUAUGCCCAUUUUCUCCUCGCUUUACUAAUUAAAGGAAAUUAAUUGGUGUUCUCGGGAACUACCGACUGAGGGUCAAGAGCCUCCAGUCAUCUUUCCCCCCUGCUUGCUCGGCUAGGUCCCCCCACCAUGCCCAGACCCCACUGUGGAGGUGGCCUCUUUCCCACAGACAAUGGGGAGGGGGCACCAGGCCCGCGGCUCCAUCCCUGCUUGGGGACUUUGGCCCUGAAAAGAAAACGCUGCUAUUGGCCGGAAGUUGUCACCCCCAGCAGGGCUGUCCGCUCCUCCUGGCCCUGGACUUGCUCUGGAGCCAGGCCUCUCCUCGCCGGCUGCCCGCACCAGCACUGCCCACUAGUGGGCGUGGCUCCCACUGGCACCCAGAGCGCCGCCGUCACACAGUAAGGCGCCCAGUAAGUGCUUGCUGAAUGUGCAAUGAGUCCCCGCCAGGCCAAGAGUUUCUGGGGUGUGGGGAGCUGCGAGGUCUCCAGGCUGCCCCAGAAAAUGGGCGAGACCUGGUUUUUCUCAAGCAUUUCUCAGAUGCCCGUGUAACGCCAGCCCUCUGCCCCGCUUCUGUGUGGUCCUUGUCUAGGGCAGGCCGCCCUUCACCCCACCAGGGAGGGGGUUCUCCCGGAUGCCCGGUGAAUACCCGCCGCCACCACCCGGCCUGGCCUCCCCUGCCCAGGUCCAAUUCUCCAGCUGAAGGGAGUUUGAACCUGAGCGUUCAGAGCAGGCAGCUUCCCCGCCGGAGCGAGCACAGAAGCGAGGCAAUUAGCCGCUCCUUCCCGACCAGCGCCUGCCUUCCCUGGAAAUGCGCGGCGACGCGUUAGUCCGUGCGUUCGCAGUCUCCUCCGCCGCCUGCUGUCGCUGCGUCCCCGCACACUCGGGCGGGAGGGCUGACGCCGCCCGACUGCAUUCUGCCUCCGGAGCCUUUCACGACUCAGCCUUGGGAACGAACACAGGG
rnacentral:lncRNA from 1 species